CAUCCAUAUCUGUCAGUCAGAUUAACCUUCUCGAUCCUCAAUCCCACUGACAUGAUGAAAAUCAUCGCCGGAACGGCGUUAAGUAUAGCAGAAGAGAAGGUUGAUGAUAUAUAAGACAGACCCAGAAGAAAUAACCAUUGGUUCAAUGUAACCCUACAAUCAAUAAUUAACAAUCAACCAUACAUCACCAAUAUGUAAAUACUGCGGAGUUCGGAUGGGAUCCAGUGUUUUAUUGCUGGUAUGAUCUCACUCAAAACAAAAAAAAAUAUAAAUACUGAUCAAUGAAUGGUGAUUGGAAUUGAAACUUACCCAAUCAGCGCGAUAAGAAAGAAUUGGAGCAGCAAUGAGAGUGUUAGAGGUGGUCUGUCCUUCCUGUAAGUAAAUGAUUCGGUGAUUGAUGGAAUAUUACAAAUAUGCAAUGUGAAGUUAAUCAUAUGUAUUGAUUGAACUUACUUUUCAAGAAAAUAUGCAAAGGGUGCCAAGAAUAAGAAACCAAUGAAGUUCCUGUAAGUUGAGAACACAAGUUUGCUCACACCCAUGUUCAGAGAGAGAGCACACACCACAAGUAAACCUGCAAGAAAAAGCUGGAGAACCAACACUCCCAAAAUAAGCUUCAUCUCUCUAGCUUGAGUACUCUAAAUUCUAACUACCUCUUCUUCUCCUCUACCUCUUUUCAUUUAAGCUAUCUUUGCUGCAAAAUCGCUCAAUUACUGAACUACAAAUUGCAUGAUACCACCUCCAAAACAAUAAAUGCCUGGGCUUCUGCUUCACCCCAUGUUCCUUGUCUCCAAUAAUUGGCACCAUAUGUAUGUUGGUGAAAAUAGUCGACGCCGCAGGUCAAUGACGUAAGCAUUGUCGAGGAAGGGGAAGAAGUCACCGUGCAUUUAAGAAAGGGAAGAGACCCCCCCAGCCCCAGAACUCUUCCUCUGUCCGUUUGUUCCUUGUACUUUGCAUUAUUUGCCUCUAAAUUACUCGGUGUAGCUUGUCAGAAAGAGAGUUAUUAUUAUUAUUUGAAGACAUCUACGAUAAAAGUAUAAUAGAUCAACCUUUUACUAUAUAACUAAACUACAUAGUUAAUAAGUGAGAGUCAAUAAAUUUUUUGCUUUUUUUUUACUUCUAUUUGUAUUUCUAUUCUCUAUUGUAAUUUCGGCUAUGCUUUUCAUUUUUAAUGAAAUUUAAUUGUUUUAAAAAAAAGGUAUUUAAGUUAUGGUCUGGGUUGGGCAGAAAAGAGAUUUAACUUAUAACUAAUGUUAGCAUUUUCUUAUCAUCCCUUGAACUUUCAUCAAACAUUUUCUUCUUCUCUAAGUAGCAAUUCAUCAAACACUUUCACUACAUCUUCAAGUUAUUAUAUUGAAAAAUGGAAUAUGACAAUGAUAUAAGUCAUGAUUGAGACAUAUAUCAAUACAUAUCUUAGAAUUAAAUCAUGUUUUGACAGAUCUCAUCUUUUUCUUCAUCUUGAUUAAGAAGUCUCUGGUUAAUAUCAUGUUCAUUGCUGGUUUGGUCAAUAAAUAUUUCAGUCUGCUCCUUCUUAUGAUUCUUCUUCUCCCCACUCCUACCCCAUAAAACAAGGUAAAGUCCAAUCACAAUGAUCAAACCACCAAUAAUCCUGUGGAAAAUAAAUAAAUAAAAUAAAAUCAGCAAGAUUUUUUUGUUAUAUAUUAUAUCAGAUGCAUGCUUUGAUGCUCACCCUCCAGAAUACAGUUGGUCACCAAGUAAGAAGAAACCCAAAACAGCAGUAGUAAAAGUUUUAACAGGUCGAAAACUCCAACAAAGAGUGGUCCUCCACCAUUAAUGCACCAUGCUUGAAGUGGAUAACAUAUCCCAGAUGCAACAACUCCCUGCAUAUAAAAUUUUGAUUAAUAAAAUAUUUUAUUCAAAAUUCAAAUCAUGAACAGCUAGAUAGAUGAUUAUAGUGUAUUACAGUAUAGAGCAAAGCCAGAAUCUCUCCUUUUGAUUUAAUCUCCCACAUCUCGAUAUCUCUCUCAGUGAAUGCUGAGAUAGCAGCUAAUUGGAUUGAUGCAAACAAGCAAGUGUAGGCAUUGAGUGUGAGCUUUGCUGGAUACUUCUUUAACAAUGGAUCUUGAAGUACCAACCAAGUUGACCUUGCAAGACAAGAUCCAAACAUGAAGAUACAUCCUAAGAUCCAUUUGCUAAUUACCAAAUCUGUUUGUUGCAGUGAAAAUGAAUUAAGGAGAAGUGCAGGACCCUUGAAAAGAGUUAUAACAGUAGCUCCUACUACUGUUAUUAAUGUUCCAACCAGUUUCCUCCAUCCAUAUCUGUCAGUCAGAUUCACCUUCUCGAUCCUCAAUCCUACUGACAUGAUGAAAAUGAUCGCCGGAACGGUGUUAAGUAUAGCAGAAGAGAAGGUUGAUGAUAUAUAAGACAGACCCAGAAGAAAUAACCAUUGGUUUAAUGUAACCCUACAAUCAAUAAUUAACAAUCAACCAUGCAUCACCAAUAUGUAAA
rnacentral:lncRNA from 1 species